rnacentral:rRNA from 1 species
UACGUAGGGUGCAAGCGUUGUCCGGAAUUAUUGGGCGUAAAGAGCGUGUAGGCGGCCCGAUUAGUCCGCUGUGAAAGUCCAGGGCUCAACCCUGGAAUGCCGGUGGAUACUGUCGGGCUAGAGUCCGGAAGGGGCGAGUGGAAUUCCUGGUGUAGCGGUGAAAUGCGCAGAUAUCGGGAGGAACACCGGUGGCGAAGGCGGUUCUCUGGGCCUGACCUGACGCUGAGGAGCGAAAGCGUGGGGAGCGAACAGG